GGCGCGGCGCCAGGGGCGUUCUUACCUGCCCCCAGGUUAAAGGAGAUCCUGGCCUCUGCGAGAGAUGCGGUCUCAGUAUGUUGUCCAGGCUGAUCUCAGAUCCUUGGCCUCAAAGGAUCCUCCUGUCUGGGUCUCUCAAACUGCUGGGAAUACAAGCAUGAGCCACCACAGCUGACGAACAGCUAUUUUUGAAUAAAGUAAAGGAAGAGAGGGAGGGAGAGAAGAAGGAAGAAGAAAAAAAAGAAAAGAAGUGAAGGAGGGUUAACUACAGCCAAAGAAAAAGAAGCAGCCCAACAGAGAGCUCAGGAAAAUUACACUUCAUACAUCCAACUGCUAUGGAAGAGGAUGGAGGUGAGAAGCGGAGGGAGAAAGAAGGAUGUGAUAUUCCAUCCCCAUUAAGAAAAUUUUUCAAGCCCCCAAUCUGAACCUACUGAAUCAGAAUUUGAGGAGAUGAGACCUGUAUACCUAGAUUUUCAAAAGACUCUCAACUCUAUCCACUCUCAUCACUUCUAUUUAACAUUAUACUGGAGGUCCUGGCCAGGGAAGUAAGGCAAGUAAAAAAAAAUUC
rnacentral:lncRNA from 1 species